rnacentral:misc_RNA from 1 species
UGAAUCUAUAAGCUUCCCUACAUGUUCUGGACCCUCCUUAUGCUUUAUGUUUUUUUAGCCUUCCAAAUCCCAUAGAAAGAUAAAACCAAAGGCUUAUUCCUGCAGAUAUAAGCCUCAGGAUCAGGGAUUGAGGAGACUUCAGCCUAAAACACACCACUCAUUCUCUCAUCAUUGCUGCAAACAAGGGAUAUAUGCCUUUGUCCCCUUUGUUUUAAUUUGCACAAUACUUACAAACAUGGGCUUUUUGGUUCAUAGGGGGAUUUUUCUUCUUAUCUGUAUUGGGUACUUAGCUCUUCAACCACAGAAGGUUUCUAGCCUGUCAAGCAUAGAUCUUGCUCUGAGAUGGAAACAAGGGCUAUUACCACUCGCUCAAACUUCGCGCAUGUUGAGGUCUGUUGCUCUGAAGGAUUUGCAAACAUUGGCAAGUUCUGCACCUGCACCUUCAAUGGUGUUUGAUCCCAACCAGUCAAACAAAAGAACAGUUCAUAAAGGAUCAGAUCCCAUCCACAACAGAUGUUGACAGGUUGAAGCAUUUAGGCAAAGUGGAACAGAAACAGGAACUUUUCCAGCAAAGGAGGUGAUGGCUAGAGGCUAUAACUGAUGCAAGAGAGAAACAUGAGGGGGUGGGAGUCCUUUGCCUUCUUAGCCGCUUCUUAAUUGGAGUUCGUUGGAUUUUUAAUUUUUUUGUUUGUUUUUAGCCAAAGGUCUUUUUUUUUCUUUGAUUUUUUUCAGUCGAGCUGAAGAAUUGCAGCUAAAACCCCUCUGUGAGCCAGCAUCCUCUCUAUAUUGUAUAGACUUCUACAGCUGAAUACAUGAAAGAUGACGAUGCUGGCUCUCCUACACGAAAUAUAUUGCUUUUCCUAAUUUUCUCUGCAUGAAAAAAAAAUUUUUAUGUACUUUGCAUGUGACUUUGGUUAUCGUAUUUUUCAAUGAUAUACUUGCGUGAAACUUUUAUAGCAU